rnacentral:rRNA from 1 species
GACGAACGCUGGCGGCGUGCUUAACACAUGCAAGUCGAACGGUGAAGCGCCUUCCUUUUUGGUGGGUGUGGAUGAGUGGCGAACGGGUGAGUAACACGUGAGUAACCUGCCCCCUUCUUCUGGAUAACCGCAUGAAAGUGUGGCUAAUACGGGAUAUUCUGGGUCUGUCGCAUGAUGGGUCUGGGAAAGAUAUUGUUUCGGUGGGGGAUGGGCUCGCGGCCUAUCAGCUUGUUGGUGGGGUGAUGGCCUACCAAGGCGGUGACGGGUAGCCGGCCUGAGAGGGUGGACGGUCACACUGGGACUGAGACACGGCCCAGACUCCUACGGGAGGCAGCAGUGGGGAAUAUUGCACAAUGGGCGCAAGCCUGAUGCAGCGACGCCGCGUGAGGGAUGGAGGCCUUCGGGUUGUGAACCUCUUUCGCCAGUGAAGCAGGCCUGCCUCGUUUGUGGGUGGGUUGACGGUAGCUGGAGAAGAAGCGCCGGCCAACUACGCG